GAUGUACUCCCUCUGUUCCAUAAUUCUUGUCUCAAAUUGUCCAAAAAUGGAUGUAUCUAUUCCUAAAAGGUGUCUAGAUACAUGAAAUAUUUCAACAAGAAUUAUGGAACGGAGGGAGUAUUUC
rnacentral:pre_miRNA from 1 species